UGCAGUAUUUUUUUUAUUUCUCUCAGUCUUUUCAAGAUACAUUUUACCAGUGAUGCCAUUGUGCAGCAUGCUAUUGAGGCUGCACCUGUAUUAUUUUUUUAGCAGUCUCUUCCUAUUCCAAAAAGUCAAUUCCAGCUGACAGAGGUGCAGAAAAGGGCUCUGACAAAGAGCAGGAAGAAAUUAUUGCUCUUGAAAGAUGUUCUCUUGAAAGCACCACUGAGGUCGUUUAAGAAAUGACUGCCACCACAUUUCCGGCCUUCUUGGAUGAUACAGCUCUUUCAGCAGAGCAAGUGGAAAGGAUAGUGUCAUUACCUACCUUUACACAAGUCAUCCUUUUAACUUAAAUUCCCAGAUUAUUUUUCUGGGAAAAUUAUGUCCUACCACCAACAUCCUCAGUUAAAUCAGUAUAUUAACUACUAUGCUUAUUUCUCUGAGAAGCCUUCUCCUGGGUCAUCUGAACCAAACCCGUGGCAUCUGAUCUUUACUACUCCAAUCCAGAUACGUGCAACUGUGCUGGGGUGAGGUAAGGGUUCAUUGUCUGAAUUGCAUGAUUUUAACGAGGGUACCCCCGUGGGCCAUGUACAUAGGCACUUUUUAGAGACCCCUUUGUAGGAGGUCAAUAACUAAUCGAUCCCAAUUCGGGGGUAGAAACUGGAAUCUUUACUGAAUACGCACUUUGCAAUAUAAGGGUCUUGGGGGCAGGACAUGUUAACAAAGAGGAUGGGUUAUGCUAAUUAGGGGAUGGAUUAUGCUAACUAGAGGAUUACACAAUUUUCUGCUACAGUUACAGAAGUGGUUAAUAUUUUCCCUUAGCUAGGACCACAUGAGGGUAAGAGAACAAAGGGGUUUCUACAUGGUCUGAUAACAUCAUCACAAAGUCUUUCCAUAUCUUGCUAAAAGAGACAGGACAAUCAACAUAGCUAAACAUUAAUAGGUCUUGUGAUGAAGUGUCCAGUCCUCAGGUAAUGGGAUUUCUCUCAGCCCCUAUUGCCCAAGGCCUGCUGCUCAACCCCAUCAAACUCCUUCCUGCUGACGGCUGAGUUUUGGUCCUUACACCCCUUAACUCCUUCAAUAAUUCCGUCAUUAAUUCUAUGUAACUGCAUUCCCUCAGUUGUAGGCUUAUACAGGAGCUUUCUAGAUUCCAGUGUGAAUUGAAGUAAACCUGAACUUGUUUUCACCUAUAUUAAACUCCCUGGAGUGCCAAGAAGGAACUCACACUGCAUUUUAUCUUUGCCCAUAUCCUGAGGUACCCUGAACAGAGCCUGCUGACAGCCUUGGCUUACAGCUUUACCCCAUUUACAGAGU